CCCUUAGAUGUUCUGGGCCGCACGCGCGCCACACUGAUGCAUUCAACGAGUUCCUACCUUGGCCGAGAGGCCUGGGCAAUCUUUUGAACUUGCAUCGUGAUAGGGAUAGAUUAUUGCAAUUAUUAAUCUUGAACGAGGAAUUCCUAGUAAACGCAGAUCAUCAAUCUGCAUUGAUUACGUCCCUGCCCUUUGUACACACCGCCCGUCGCACCUACCGAUUGAAUGGUCCGGUGAAGCCUCGGGAUUGUGGUUAGUUUCCUUCAUUGGAAGUUAGCCGCGAGAACUUGUCUAAACCUUAUCAUUUAGAGGAAGGUGAAGUCGUAACA
rnacentral:rRNA from 1 species